UCCGUUAGUGCUUCAUUUCUGCUAACCAAGUUUGAAAUUGGUCGGAUUACGCGCUUUAAUUUCUAAUAUAUAUCAUAUUUAAAAAGCUAGUUUGGGCGGGAAAUAUCGUAGUUUAAUCAGGUCACGUGUUCCAUUAUUGUUCCCAGUCGAUUGCAAAGUACAGUACCGUAAGAUCAGAAAGUUCGAGGUUUGAAGUCUGGCAUAAGGAUGUUUAUUUUGGGCUCCUGGGGUGAAGGAUCUAGUGUCAAAUUAUCACUUCUCCCAUCAAGAGAAAUGACAAAGUGACUGAUGCAUGAAACCAUUUCAUUCCUUGGCCAGUGCGCAACAGAUGAAGUGAAAAUUUACUGCAGGACCUCCCAGCCAGCAUCCUGAGCUCUGUCCCAAAAAUCGAGAGUGUAAACUUGAGCGGAACUCAAUCAAAUCAAUACACCCUCAAGCAAAUGCUGGUGCCCAGCUACUGAUGGUUCUGAAUCUGCAAGGAAACCAAUGUACCAUCUCCCAGAAAAGGGCUUCAAAGAUCUCCUAAACAUAGUCAUUGGCAUGAAGAACCUCUGCUCUCCCACCAAAUGCAUUCAAGCCUCUGAUUGCCCUCGAAGUCCUGGAUCUAGCCUUGAACCACAUACAAAGCAUCUCACCCAAAGCUUUUGUCGGACUUGAAGCACUGCUUUUUCUCAUUUUGGAAAACAAGAAGCUGAAGAAUAUCCAAGCUGGGACCUUUGCACCCCAAUUGGUCUUGAAAUACUGGUGCUAGACAACAGUUUUCUCUUCACACUUACCACAGCCACACGAGAAGUUAUUUCCAACCUGCAGGAGCUCUAUGUGAGAAAGAAUGAAAUUGAGAGUCUGUCAGCUGACUUCUUCUGCCAAAUACCUAAACUGUCUCACAUAGACUUGAAAAUCGACUACAUGCCAUUGAUGGAAAUGUGCUAGCCAACAUGCAAGGUUUAAAAGAAGUGUUUCUGCAUGACAACCCAUGGAAAUGUGACUGCAGUAUAGGGCUAAUCACUCUCCUCCACGAAGACUUCAGUGCACUAGCCCAGAAGAGUUUCGUAGUAGACCCUUCCACCAGCUGAAAUAUGAUGAACUUCCCUGCAGGGCCUAGAUAAUCCUCACGUCUGAUAUCAUAUCACAAACACCCUCUAAAAGUUGGGAACAUGGGUAUAAUAACAGCAUGAUACUUUCUGCAACUAAAUGAUGAUGCUUCAUAUAACUCCAAACACAAUGACUUUGACAGGUUAAUGAUAGAGCUGCUGUUCUGCGGAUAGUCAUAAUUUUCACCCACGUCAGUCGACUAUUUUAAGGCCACCUGGAGAG